rnacentral:rRNA from 1 species
UACGUAGGGGGCAAGCGUUGUCCGGAAUUACUGGGCGUAAAGGGCGCGUAGGCGGCCGCCUAAGUCAGACGUGAAAUCCCUCGGCUCAACCGGGGAACUGCGUCUGAUACUGGGUGGCUUGAAUCCGGGAGAGGGAUGCGGAAUUCCAGGUGUAGCGGUGAAAUGCGUAGAUAUCUGGAGGAACACCGGUGGCGAAGGCGGCAUCCUGGACCGGCAUUGACGCUGAGGCGCGAAAGCGUGGGGAGCAAACAGGG